CGAGCCUGUAUUUGGUGGACCUGUCAUGUCCACCUUGUCUAUUAGGGAUGGACACUGUUUGAGGAAAUCUAGCUUGUUAGCGUUGCAAGAUACUGCGCCCUGUUUGUUUUUUUUUUUUUUUUGCUUGUGUUCAAUGUCUGAUUGAUAGGUGUCGAUCCUAAUAGGAAUUUUUUUUGGGGGGGGGAAGUGUUCCCAUGCUACUGAGUGACAUUCUAAGUCAACAUUGGGCUGACGGUUGCUCGAUUAUGUCAGUCAAAACAUGAGCCGCAGUCAGCCUUUUGCCAAAAAGAGUUGGGCACUUUGAUGAGUGAUAUUCGGGGAAAUUAGUAAUUGCAGUUCAGCCUUUUAGCUCCGAGGAAUCAACUCGCCGAGUGUCCCGGGAGACAUUAGUCUAAUACGCCCCCCCGCCCACCAACCCCACCCCUUCCGCACACCCUAUCCUUUCCGGCAUUAGCCGCCGUAGCACUGCAAAGCAGUCACGCGGUGCCGCUCAUUAAAACCGGACAGCUUUAACCUCUCGGGCUUCUUGGCCACUUCAAUGCUGAGUCGGACUCCGCAAAUAUUUCCUGGAAAUUCUCAAAUUCUUCAUCUGCUUGCCACGCGGUGACCAAAGCUCUCUUGAUGUGACAUCUGGCGUCACUUUGGGAGUGAGGCAAAGGGCACGCGAUGGUGUAGUUAGUUGGAGGUGUGCUGCAGCGGGUUGUUUGGCCUUGUACGUCUCAGUCAAGAGUUUCAGAGGAGCGGGUUGACAGAACACGGUUCCAAACUGAUAAGCAUUCACUGACUCGCUCGGAGGCUGGGUGAAACUUUGACGUGAUGUGUUUAUUGAUUUUUUUUUUCGCGGGAUGUUCAGAGCAACUCCGUGGAAUCGAUCACCUCUUACGUGGGUCAUUAUCAUUCACGGUCGCUCAGCACAACAACACAGAAGGCUUGAUAUGGAUUAGAUUUAAUUUUCAAACUCUUUUCGAGGCAAACGGGGUCAAAGUUGGGAAAGGAAAUAGACACAUAUAGCGACCGCAUGCCUACAUUGUGACAUUCGCGAGACACGCGGCAACAAAAUAUGCCGUCGGGGUCGAAAAUUAUACCGACGAUUAUGUUUACGUCUUGAGAGAUGCGGUGUGCGUGUUUGCGUUGCGGUGUCCUAUGGCAUCCUUGUGUUAUGCAGCACAUUAGCAGAUGACAACACGGGAAGGAAUGUGUACCAUGAUGCAGACUCUGCUCUGUCCCUUAAGUUGUGGUGGUUUGUGUUUGUGUGUGUGAGUGUGUGUGUGUGGCAUCGUAUUCCAUCAUUGGCUGGUCUGUCGCCUGACUAAAAUGCCUGAACCACUGGGAUUGGUGUGUCUGCCUAAGGCUGCUAUUAGAGGAAUUUGUGUGUGUGUGUGUUUAAGUAUAUUCCAUGGGCUUUAUGGGUGCCCAGAGGUGUCAUUAGAUGUAAUCUGAAGGUCCGUGUGCCAUUUGGUAUCGGGCUGCAGAGAAACUGAACAAAAAAGAAUUUUGUAAGAAUCAGAAUCUGGAAAAUAAAGAAAACUAAAAAAUCUGUCUGUCAGGAUAAGACAGAGCAUCGCUGUCGGGCGGAAGCGUCGUAUGUCCAAAUAUGCUGAAUUUAAAAUGGUCGUUUGUCUAUGUGUGCCCUGCGAUUGGCUAGCAACCAGUUCAGGGUGUCCCCUGCCCACUGCCCGAAGACGCCUGUGGAUAGGCUCCAGCACGCCUGCGGAUUAGAAAAUGGAUGGAUGAAUAGACAAAAGUUGCGGGGCUUCCAAAAAUUAGAUCAACAUAUUGAAUGUAAUUUUAUUUGUCUCUAUGGCGGCCGUGAUGAGCGUUAACAUCUGUCCCUCAGUGGUUUCCAUAGAAACAAAUUGACCAUCUUUUGACGGCGGUAGUAUUCAUCCCCUUUUAUAUUUGACGCUUUUUGACCUGUUCAUUUUUCACGGCACAGCUGAUGUUUUCCCGUUGUCCAAGAAUAGUCUUUACGAUCAUUUAUGAUGACAGCCCUCUCAGGUAAACACACUCACGAGUGCUUAUUUAGAUAAGUGCGCAAUUACACCCCAGCGUCUCACUGUAAACUUGUGUGUGUGUGUGUGUUUGAGCUUUUUAUUGCCUUUGCGGGAUCUUGGCUAGCUCAGGAUGUCGUUACCCCCACUGAAAAUAAGGGCUGGGAAGCUUUCGAGGCUUUUACCUACACUCAUUGUAAUACAGCAUGCAGACAAAAAAAUUGGGACAUGCGGCCAUCACACUUGCAUGAAGUGAAAUGAGAUCAAAUCAGGUGUUUUGAAGUGGGAUUUUUUUUUUUGGGGGGGGCGGUCUAAUUCAUCCCAAAAGCUGUUUGCUGGAUUUGUGGUUGAAAUGGAAAAUUGAAUCCCCAAACCAGGGAUUGUCGGGGUUCAAUUGUCCAAAUGAUUUGUCGGGAAUUAUAGCAGCAGCAUGAUGGACAAGUGGUUAGCAGGUCCGACUCACAGUUCAUCAAUUCUGGAUUUGAAUCUUGAAUCUGACCUUCCUGUGUGGGAUUUGUGCAUAUUCUCUUACGAGUGACCCAAAUUGCCUUUUUAAAGUCAACUAGCUGAAUGCUAACACAUAAUGGGAAACACCAUAGAAGUGCUAGUCAAUAGCACCGUCGUCGUGGCGCUAUAACCGUUCAAGCAACAGUUUUGAACACAAAUGAUGAAGGUACACAUCUAGAUGGGUAUUAUAAAAUGCACUUUAGUGGACUAGUUUUAAAACAUUACAAACAUUUGUGGGUGGGGGUGGGGGGUCAACAGCAUUUCGUCCAACCGCUAUUGGAAUAAUGAAGCGAUUAAGAGACUCGUGUAGAUCUAGUUGCAUGAUCUGAGAAGAAGAAGCCUAUGUAUGCACUUUUGAGUCUCUCAAGUGUAGCAGUGCUAGCCAGAGACCAAAGCUGCGGUCCUCAUUGCAUGGUUGCGGUGCAACAUGCUGUCCCAGCUUGGGCCUCCCUGUUGGUACACAGGCCUCUCUUGUCUGUCACUUUCUCUUAGUAACAAUCCUCUCUAUGAGCGUGUGUGUGUAUGCGCAUAUUGUGUGGAUUUAGAGAUGCUAUGUUUGGGGUGCGGGGGUUGGGACUUUUCACUGUUUCACUGAGGACAAUAAGCCUUUUGAUGCAUCUCGGAUCUCCUUUGUUUCCCCUAAUGAGGACCAACGGGUCUGUGGCAGACGGAGUUUUUUUGUGGGGUGGGGGGCGAAUAAUUGAAUGAGCGAGAAAUUGUUGGUUGGAGGGUGUUUUGUCUCGUAGCGCUUAUCUGCUUGGCUGUGGCUAGCACUUGGAGGCUAAUCAGCUCUAUAUCUUGAUUUGAAGAGCUUGACCUGAUCUGAAAGGGCGGCCAGCGGUGGGAAGUACUUAAGAACAAAUAUUUUAUUACUGGAUUGAAUUAGAAUUUUCAGUCAUCUGUGCUUUGAGAAUUUAUAUUGCGGACGACUCUUGAAAAUAGACAUCAGUGCUUUGUACUCCUUACAAGAUCAACUAGUUACUUGUUAACAUUAGCUAACUUAGCAUUUUUAGCUACUCAGUUCGUAUUGUUGUUAAAUGUACUGGAAACACACUGUUUUUAUAACAUAAAAGACUAAUGCUAGCUUGCGCUUAGCAUUAAAAAAAAAGUUUUUUUCUUCUUGUGCCAUGUCAUCAAAAUUGGCAUUGUACGAGCAUAUAAUUGACUAGCUUGCUAGCUAGCUAACUCAUGAUUGCUUUUUACUUUUGUACGUAAAUGCAUUUCAGGAUCCAUACUGUCCAUUUUUUUACUGAAGUAGUUGAAUCAGUACUUCAACUAAUACAAGAGUCGUUUCAUCCUGUUUCUGUUUUUUUUUUUGUAGUUCUUACUUAACUAGAGUGUGUGAGUACUUUAGCCACCUCUGGUUGUCGUCACCGGGCCUUAUCCUGUUAACAUACAAAGAAGAACUCCACACUAAGCGUUGCAUACAUCGUUCACACGUGGGCUCUGGUUUGACACCCAUUGUCCCCCAGUGAUCAAGGUAAUGGGGAGCAGAUGAGGGCCAAUGCAGGACAAGAAAGGGAAGAAAUGCCGUGAGCUGUUAUCCUAAACACAAGCGUCAGGUUUCAAAGACGAUCGUAGCCUUCCUUUCUGUUGCCCGACUUUUGUCCCUUGGCGCAAUAAUGCCAUUAUGGCAUCAAGAGCGCAACGCCCAGUCAGCGAGCUGGCCCAUCGAGCGGCCACAUAGCACGAUUGCCGCCCCCGCUCAACCCCCUUGGGUGCUGCUCAGAUUUCCCCUUCAUAGAAACAGCUGAGUGCUUGGCCUGCGCUUUCAACUACCACUGUGGUGCACCGAUGAGUUGAUCGUUUUUUUUUAAAAGACGUUAUAAAUACCCCUUGCCUCCCUCCACUUGUUAACAGGGGGAGUGGAUCUGAUUUCCAACAAAACAGCAGCAGGGGACUCUUAAAGGAGGUGUUUUAUGCAUUCCAGGUGUCUCAAUAACUCUCGCAAUAAGAUUGUGUAAGGAAGGGUGUGUCGUAGCCGAGCUCAGCUGGUCUUGGGUGAGAGGCUGGGUGCACCCUGCACUGGUCGCCAGCCAAUCAUAGGGCACAUAAAAACAAUGAUUCAGAGUCACAUUCACGUCAUAUGGACAAUAUCAAGUCUUCAGUGAACCUCACAUACAUGUUUUUCAAAUAUGGGUGGAGAAAAUCUCCAAACACAUGUUGAAUGUGCCUGCUCCACACAAGGAAAGCUUCAAAGCCCAAACCUCAGACCUCAUAUGCAGAUGGACUCCUCCACUUUUGCUGCCAUCUCCGGGAUGUGAUUUUGUCAAAAUAAGAUCAGGAAUGAUUGACACACCAUUUUUGGGGGUUUUGUUUGAUGAAAUCAGCCCAUUUUUAGGGAAUGGCUGUCAAGCAAUUGGUCCAGCGCCCAUCCUGGGCCACAUAGUGCUAGACCAAUGAUGAGUCUGGCAUCAGGGGUUUUAUGAGCUUCCUCUUGUCAUUUUGCAUAAAAGCAGGCUGGAUUUCGCCGGCGAGUGUAUGCUUUGCAGCAGGUUGGAUCUCUGAGCAAGUGUAUGCAGAACAGGCUAGCCUAAUCUCACCAGCAAGUGUAUGUGUAAAAUUAGGGUGUAUGUCAACAACAAGUGUACAGUAUGUAUAAAAGUGGGCAGGAUCUCGCUGGAUCUCACCAGCAACUGUGUACAUAACUGUGGGCUUGGUUUUGUCAGUGAGUGUAUAUGCAUAACAGUGGCCUUGAUCUCGCCAGCAAGUGCGUAACAGAAGGCUGGCUCUUGCCACGGUGUAACUCACUAGCAAGUGUAUUCCUAAAAGUGGGCCGGAUCUCGCUGGCAAGUGUAUACGUAACUCUGGGAUACGUUUUGUCACGGAGUCUAUAUGCAUAACAGUGGGCUUGCUCUUGCCAGCAAGUGUAUGCAAAACAGCGAAUUGAAUCUUGGCCACAAGUAUUUACGUAGCUGGUCUGCGAGUGCACAUUCAGGCCAUGUUUUGUCAUCUGGUCAUCGUUCUGCAUUUCUGGCUGUUGUCCUCUCGCCAGCAAGUGUGCACAACAGAUGGCUGCCUGCUUCUACUUAGGGAAGCAGAGCCCAGAGUGUUAGAGAAAAAGACAAGAAAAAAAAACACUUGGACUCAAGGCGGCAGCAGUGUGUGUGUGGUGCACGGACUCAUGCAAUCUGACUUGUCACUUGAAAGUGGCUCUGGAUCUUCACCCUGUCCAGCUGAUCAUGACAGGGCAGAGAAACUUGCGUGGUUCUUAUGUAAAUUUGCGCUAUUGUUAUGUAACAGUGAGGCAGAGGUGCAGAAAGAGUAACUUACAUUUUCCGAAAUAGGCCAACAAGAUUUACUUGGUGUCUAAAUGUCACACUUGAGGAGUGGGCGGGGUCUCCUGAGACCCUUCCAAUUUUUCUACUAACAAUAAUGACUAAAUUUUUCAUAAUAUGUCCUGUUUUAAGUGUGCCCACAAGCCAACAGCAACACAGGAACCUGCUGCAGAAACCUUGAGCGUGUCCCGUGAUAUGCCAAAAACAAAAACAAAAACAAACAAAAAAGAAGGUAU